ACGCACGCUUGCGGCGUGCUUCACCCCUGCCAGUCGCACGGAAAGGCCCUGCUUUUGUGGGGUGCUCGAGUGGCGAACGGGUGAGUAACACGUGAGUAACCUGCCCUUGACUUUGGGAUAACUUCAGGAAACUGGGGCUAAUACCGGAUAGGAGCUCCUGCUGCAUGGUGGGGGUUGGAAAGUUUCGGCGGUUGGGGAUGGACUCGCGGCUUAUCAGCUUGUUGGUGGGGUAGUGGCUUACCAAGGCUUUGACGGGUAGCCGGCCUGAGAGGGUGACCGGCCACAUUGGGACUGAGAUACGGCCCAGACUCCUACGGGAGGCAGCAGUGGGGAAUAUUGCACAAUGGGCGGAAGCCUGAUGCAGCAACGCCGCGUGCGGGAUGACGGCCUUCGGGUUGUAAACCGCUUUCGCCUGUGACGAAGCGUGAGUGACGGUAAUGGGUAAAGAAGCACCGGCUAACUACGUG
rnacentral:rRNA from 1 species